rnacentral:rRNA from 1 species
GUCUACGGCCAUACCACCCUGAACUCGCCCGAUCUCGUCUGAUCUCAGAAGCUAAGCAGGGUCGGGCCUGGUUAGUACUUGGAUGGGAGACCAUAAUGAGUAUUGUUAUGGCUUGGAUA